CAUCUUAUCCAGACUCCCCGUCCUCGCGGCGCUUUACCUCGCGGCGCUCCGCUCCGCCCCGCCCCGCCCACCUCCUGCUACGCCCCUCGCGCCGCCGGCCGCCUCCUGCCCCGCUCCGCCCCUCACCACGCGCCGCCGGCCUUCUCCUGCCUCCCAAUCCCAUCUCGCGGCUUUCUUCGCCGUUCACCGCUCCCCUCCACCUACUGGUCGCGACCUCGUGGGAGGCAGAGGAUGGGAGGGUGCGGCGCUGGCGUCCGACUCCAGGAGCUCGAGAGGGCCGAUCUGCGCGUCGGCGACCUCGCGGGAGGCAUGGCGUGGCGUGUUGCGCUCGAGACGAGCGGGCUCGAGUAAGGGGAUUGGAGGGUGGCGCCGGCGGGAUCGUGGACGGGGAUGGAGUGGGCGGGUGCCGGCAAGAUCGAGGCCGGGGAUGGAGAGGGCGGUCGGCGAGCUGGCGGCUGAGGAUGGAAGAGGCGGCACUAAUUCUCUGCUACCCGCACCGCACCACGUCCCUAGCUUCCUCCUCUCUGAUCGAACCGAGUCCGUUUUACAAAGGGAUCCGGCGACUAGAGGGGAGCUGCCACCGGUGACGCUGCCGGAGAAGCUGGCGAGGUUCCUCCAGAAGUGCGCCGAAGGAGUUCCAGAACGAGCCCCGGUAUAGCGGCGACCGGUGGUACCUUCGCGGCUGGGUUCCAGAUGGGCUACGAUUACAAACUCCGUUGAUUAUUCACGCUCUGGUCGAUGCUCUGUCGGCAGCCCACUAACCAGGCAACUCUAUCGUUGAGGACCGUGUGUACCGCAGGAGGAUCCCUGAUGCUUUGUUGCUCCCGUGACCUUCAAUUUGUUGUGUGGCUGUCUACAAACGUACAGUAGCUUCAUUCAAAUUCUUUUUAGAAAUUGCUAGACGAAUUUUUUUGUAGAGCUGAGAGAAAAGAUGCAUAGACAAUAGAAUUAUGUUCAGGUUUGCAAUAAUUCGUUCUAUUUGCUUGCAAACAAAUUGCACAAGCCGUUCAUUUGUUGGAUGAUGUUUGCAUGUAUUUCUAGCAAGUUAUAAAAACUGAUGGAAGAUGCUUUGUGUAUUCUUUUGUGUGUCUAUCAGAACAGGCAUGGUGGGAGGGCGAUGCUCUGUUGACUGCUUUUCUUAUAAUAUUACAGAGGGAGGAUCGAAGUGGAGAUUGGUACUUUCCCUUUCAGCGGCCAAAGAAAAGCAACACUUUUUCAUGUGAUUUCAGAUGAAACGACCAGAGUGUGUAAAAUCUGGAUCGCUACAAACAGGUCAAGAAUAACUUCUCCAAGCUCUCAGAAGAGAAGCAAUAAUGUGACUCCCAGGUGCCUCUCUGAGAGAAAAGCUGGAGAUGCUUUGCCAGUGGCAAAACAAAGGGAAGUAAUUGCUACGGACGCCAGCCAGGUGUUCAUGCUAUUGGAUUAAUGUUUUCUGCUCUUAAUAAUGCUUCCGUUUUUCUUCUUUUAGAACCCUUCUUUUGUACUCUUACAAAUAGCAGAUGAAAGGAGAAGGAUGAAGAAGUCAAGCUAUUGGAGAGAUCAAUUGAGGAGCUCAAAAUAACUUUAGUGUUCUCAAAAGUAGCUUUAUUUAGUUUGAGUGAAUUUUGUGGCCUAAGUGUUGUAGCUAUUCAUUUUGCCACGCAUUCUGAAUGUUAGUACACACCCAUGUUGGUACAGAACUCCUAUUGUUAUGCCUGUCAUGACAACAACUUUUCCAGAUUUUUGUGCAUAAACAUACAUAUGUGGACUAAAUUCUUUUGUUACUUGCUCAGCCAAUACAUAUGUAUGCUCUUUUUUUUGCGGGUGAAUACAUAUGUAUGCUAAUAUAGUUAUUGGUGUUAUGAUAUUGGUUGAGUCAAUUAUACCAUUUACAAUAUUCAAAUAGGCUUUGAGUUUGGUAUAUGCAAAAUGUUUACAAACUAUUAACGUCUAAGUGAUAACUAAUAAAAAAAAUAUGCAUCGUGCAUUCAUCCAUCUAUGGUAACUAUGCAAGCAUGCAUGACUAACAUUUGUUUUUCAAAUUUUCAAUCAUUUUUCUCAAGAAUUGUCCUUCUUAUCUCGGAUGAGAUAUAUUGAUGCAUUCCUAUAUUUUCAUAUACUUCUAAUCCCUGAAAACACAAGACAAAUCCUAAAAGAAGUUACUUUUUGUAAUUAAAAUUGCUAGCAAUGACCUUUUUGUUUUACGCUAUUAAAUAUCUUAUGAUCUGAACAUCAUGCACCUGCCUGGAAACACAUAUUAGCAUUGACCAGUGAAUUUUCACUAAGAAAAGAGAGCCGGAUAUUUUUCUCCCGUUGCAACGCACGGGCCUUUUUGCUAGUCUCUCUUUAAUAAUAAAGCACGGAUUGACUUUGUCGGGUUCACCGUCACAAUACGCUUCUUUCCGUAAGUUUAUGCUUUCACUGGGAAUUUAAAACAUAUACACGAGGUGGUACUGAUAAAAUUUGGUACGUCGUCGUUCCCGUUCGCUCGUCCAAAAAUCCCCAUCACGAUCUGAAAAUCCCCAUUGCCGUGAGGCUCCACCUAACCCACCUCCAUCCCCUGGCUUCGGCGCGCCUCCCGCCGACGGCCCUCCCAACCCCAACGCGCCUCACGUCAUCGUCGCCCGGCACCGGCCCCGGCAUGCCUCCCACCACCGGCGCCCAUCCCCCGACGUGCCUCUCGCCGCCGUCGCCCCGGCCCUGACGCACCUCUCUCCAUCCCCAGAUCGCCUCCCACUCCGCCCUCCAUCCCCAGCACGCCCCCACCAUCAGACCUCGGCUGGCGACCGCAUCCCCUGGCUCGGCUGCACGUGACCGGGAUCCCCCAUCUCCCAGGAAACCUCGCUGGUGCACGCCACCUCCCUCCUCCUAAGGUGCUCCCUGUCCGAUCCACUCCACUGGUGUCCACGCCCCGACGCCGCCGGCGAGAGCCACCACUCCAUGUGCUCCUCUCUCAUCCAAGUUCAUGCAGCCCUGAUUCUCCUUGUGUUCUAUUGCAGGUUGGGAGCGGUGUGAACUUUGAACGGAUCAGUGGUUGGACCAUCAGCAGUUAACUGCACCAACACGACUGACGCCACCUCGCACGCCUUCGUCUUCGUCGACGGCGGUCAGCACCUCCAACGCAAAUCGAUUCAGCGCCGUCUGUGCAUGGCUCGGCUCAUGCGCUCUGCUGCUGCCACGGGACCCAGUGCACCUCCCGUCCUCUGCUUUUCUCCGUGCGGAACUGUCUGUCUCGUGUCACUGCUUGCACCUGCUACUGCUGGGAAUACGCUGUCCCGCGACGCCCUGUACUCAAUCUGUACCCGUGCUCUCUCUGGUCUCACGAACCAUCCCUACGGCCGCAAAGCUUCUCUUAGACCGGCCGCCAUGCAUCAAACUGAACUGCUGAGUUCAUUCCCCCAAAGUCCUGCAGAGCUUAUAGUAAAGAGGCGUACCCCGAUCUCCUCCGUUACUUAACAAUAUGGUGUGCUUUCUGAUGGAA